UACGGAGGAUCCGAGCGUUAUCCGGAUUUAUUGGGUUUAAAGGGUGCGCAGGCGGGAGAUUAUGUCGGCGGUGAAAUUUUGCAGCUCAACUGUAAAAGUGCCUUCGAAACUUGUUUCCUUGAGUGUAGAUGAAGUAGGCGGAAUUUGUGGUGUAGCGGUGAAAUGCAUAGAUAUCACGAGGAACUCCGAUUGCGCAGGCAGCUUACUAAACUACUACUGACGCUCAGGCACGAAGGCGUGGGGAUCAAACAGGAUUAGAUACCCU
rnacentral:rRNA from 1 species